UGAUUAUCCUUUACACCUAAAGUUAGUUUUUACAAUUUAUUAUAAAUAUAAACUUCCAAUUGAGACAUUGAGUCACACCUUAAGAGAGCAAUUUUGUAACAAGUUGGCUUCAGAUGGGUGAAAAUUAUAAUUUUAGGGUAAUUACUAAUUAAUGUUCUGGUGGUCGUUACUAAUAAUCGUGAAAGGUAUUGUGUGUUUUGCUUCAAGGAAGACGAGGAUAUUCACCAUGCUUUUCUCAAGUGUAGUGUUAUCUCUAAAGUGUGGCUCAAUAUAUUCAAGUGGAUGGGCACAAACUGUUCCUAUUUUGUAGAUGUAUCGCAACACUUUUUUGCUUUUGGAAAUCUAGCAACAGGCAACAUUAAUAAGCGAUUACACCAUAUUAUUUGGUUAGCGACAACAUGGAGCAUUUGGCAAACGCGCAACAACAUAUUAUUUAGAGGUGCUUGUAUAGAUAUUGAUUCUUUAACAGAGCAAAUUAUUUACUUUUCAUGGUAUUGGUUUAUUGGUCGUUUAGGGAACAAUGCAAAUUUGGUUUUCUCAAAUUGAUGUAACAAUCCUUUAGCCUGUUUACAAUGUAUGUAAGGCGAUAGGCCGUGAAUUGUAAGGGUUGAGUACCCCUUAACUGAUGUAUGUAAGGCAAUAGCCUGUUUAUUGAGGGAAACA